AUGGCCACCGCCGCCAAGCCCGCCGACCCCGCCCCCGCCGCCAAGCCCGCCGACCCCGCCCCCGCCGAUCCGCCCGCCGACGACCCCAUGGACGCCGACGCCGAGGCGGAGGAGCACGAGGAGGAGGCGGAGUCGGAGGAGGAGGCGGAGGCGCAGCCGCAGAAGAAGCGGGGCCGGAGGAAGAGGGUGCCGCGGGAGCCGGCCACCCCCGCCACCGGGAGGCCCUCCAGGGAGCGCAAGACCGUCGAGCGCUACGCCGAGCUCACCCCGCGCUCCACCCCCGCCAAGAAGUCCGCCGCCAUUCUCCAGGGCUCUGGGACGAAGCUCAAGGAGAUCCCCAAUGUUUUCUUCAAACUAUCCAAGAGAAAGGUGGAUGACAAUCUUCAGAGUCUUCAUGCUUUAUUGUUUGGGAGAAAAUCAACUGUCCAUUUCUUGAAAAGAAACCUAUCACAGUUUUCUGGUUUUGUUUGGACUGACAAUCCGGAAAAGCAAAGGAACAGGAUAAAAGAAAGGCUUGACAAGAUGCACAAGGAGAAGCUGCUAGAUUUUUGUGAUAUACUUGAUGUUCAGACCAAACACACUUUAAAGAAGGAGGAAGUUUCUGCCAAAUUGCUGGAGUUUCUGGAGUCUCCUUGCAUUACCAGAGAUGUUGUUAUCAGUGAUGUGAAGAAAGGGAAGAAACGCCGGAGGAAGUCUAAAGGAACUUCUGGAGAGAAGAAAAAGAGGAAGAGCCGGAAACAAGCAGUUGAGGCUGAAAAAGAGAAUGAUGAUGAAGAUGAUGCUGGUCCUGCUGGUUCUGAGGACGCAUCAAUGGGAGAAAGUGAUGAGGACUCUGAAGUGAAAGAAGAAACCAAGAGUGAUGAAGAGCCUGAAGCGACACCAGUUAAGAAAAAGUCAACAGAUGAUAAACAAGGAAAGAAGGAAGCUGGAUCCAAGGCAAAGGAAAAUGAUGCAUCAGUAAAGAAGACUCCUACUAAAUCUGUAAAAAGCGUGUCAAAGCCAGAUGUGGAGCCGGAGAGCAAAAAGGCUGCCAAGAAAACACCAAAGAAUUCAACAAAGGGAAGCAAUACACCUGUAGAAAAGGCCAAGAAGAAGGUUGCAAAACCGAAAAAGGAUGAUGGAAAAGAGAGCAAAAACAACAGUAAGGCACGCAAGAAGCAAGGUGCCAAGGCAUCUGGUGGAAAUAAAGGAAAAGACAAGGUAGCCCCAACCACUAAGCAGCUGCAUGGAGUUGUUAGCAACAUAUUGAAAGAAGUGGACUUCAAUACGGCAACUUUGGCCGACAUUCUCCGGAAGCUAGGAGACCACUUUGACAUGGACCUCAUGGAUAGGAAGUCGGAGGUGAAGCGCAUCAUAGAGGAAGUGAUCAACAGCAUGUCUGACGAUGAAGGCGAGGAAGAAAAUGAGGAGGAUGCAGAGGAGAAUGGCAAGAAGGGAGAAGAUUCAAAGGAGGAUCCUGAUGAAGAGGAAGAGAAAUAA
rnacentral:rRNA from 1 species